rnacentral:lncRNA from 1 species
CCCUCUUUCCUGCUGUGCUGUGUGUGAUGCUGCCCUCCUCAUCGCACAAGGGAGAAAGCUGAGCCUUUGAAAAAGGAGGAGAGGAUUACUGCAAAUCCACUGAGGAAAAAAAACCAAGGAGGCAUCAGAAGCUAAUAUUGGUGACGAGAAGGAUAAAAGCAGAAACCCAGCAACAAAUACUUUGCCUGUUUGAGCGAGAGAUUUGAAACUUUCCCCAGCUUGGAAGAGGGUGCAGAGCAAUCAGAAAAUCUGCACAAGAAGAAAAUGAAGCCAGCACUUUCAUUGAGAAGUUUGGAGCAGGCCCUUCUUUGCACCUGCCAUCUCUGUGCAGACAGGUACUAAAAUUCACAUCUAACUGUGUCAGAAAUACUGCAUUCAGCUGUCACAGGCAUAGCUGCU